rnacentral:rRNA from 1 species
ACGGGAGGCAGCAGUGGGGAAUAUUGCACAAUGGGCGAAAGCCUGAUGCAGCGACGCCGCGUGAGUGAAGAAGUAUUUCGGUAUGUAAAGCUCUAUCAGCAGGAAAGAAAAUGACGGUACCUGACUAAGAAGCCCCGGCUAACUACGUGCCAGCAGCCGCGGUAAUACGUAGGUGGCAAGCGUUGUCCGGAUUUACUGGGUGUAAAGGGUGCGCAGGCGGGGCUGCAAGUUGGAUGUGAAAUACCGAGGCUUAACCUCGGAGCUGCAUCCAAAACUGUGGUUCUUGAGUGGAGUAGAGGUAAGCGGAAUUCCGAGUGUAGCGGUGAAAUGCGUAGAUAUUCGUAGGAACACCAGUGGCGAAGGCGGCUUACUGGGCUCUAACUGACGCUGAGGCACGAAAGUGUGGGUAGCAAACAGGAUUAGAUACCCUGGUA